AGAGUUUGAUCAUGGCUCAGAACGAACGCUGGCGGCGUGGAUAAGACAUGCAAGUCGAACGAGGUAUUACUGGUAGCAAUAUUAGUGGUACUUAGUGGCGCAAGGGUGCGUAACACGUGGGCAACCUGCCCUGAAGUGGGGGAUAGCCCGCCGAAAGGCGGAUUAAUACCGCAUGUGGCUAGAGGAGACAUCUCCUUGACGCCAAAGCCGGGGCAACCUGGCGCUUCUGGAUGGGCCCGCGGCCUAUCAGCUAGUUGGUGAGGUAACGGCUCACCAAGGCUAUGACGGGUAGCUGGUCUGAGAGGACGACCAGCCACACUGGAACUGAGACACGGUCCAGACACCUACGGGUGGCAGCAGUCGAGAAUUUUUCUCAAUGGGGGCAACCCUGAAGGAGCGACGCCGCGUGGAGGAUGAAAGGUCUUCGGAUUGUAAACUCCUGUCAUUGGUGAACAAGAUUGCCGGUUAACUGCCGGUUAAUUUGAUAGUAGCCGAAGAGGAAGAGACGGCUAACUCUGUGCCAGCAGCCGCGGUAAUACAGAGGUCUCGAGCGUUGUUCGGAUUCAUUGGGCGUAAAGGGUGCGUAGGCGGCGAGGCAAGUCUGAUGUGAAAUCCCGGGGCUCAACUCCGGAACUGCAUUGGAUACUGCCUUGCUCGAGUACUGGAGAGGAGACUGGAAUUUACGGUGUAGCAGUGAAAUGCGUAGAGAUCGUAAGGAAGACCAGUGGCGAAGGCGAGUCUCUGGACAGUUACUGACGCUGAGGCACGAAGGCCAGGGGAGCAAACGGGAUUAGAUACCCUAGUAGUCC
rnacentral:rRNA from 1 species